AGAGAGAGACGAGCUCUUCAACCAGCCUGGAGGACCGGGGAGACUGCCGAAGCCUGCAGGCACUGCUGUGCUCAGGAGGGCUGUUCCCAGGAAGGAGAUGAUCCAGAGAUCCAAACAGAUCUAUGAGAAUCUGCCGGAGGUGCAGAGGAGGAGAGAGGAAGAAAGACGGAAAGCAGAGUACAGAUCUUACAGACUGAACGCCCAGCUCUACAACAAGAGAAUCACCAACCGUGUCCUGGGCAGACGAACAGCUUGGCAAUGAUCAAACAGACCAGUAAAACUUUUUACUGUAAAUUAAAUCAGUGACGUGAAAAUCUUUUUUUUUUUUUUUUUACAACUGUAAGAACAAAACUACCUAAUUUAACUAAAAAUCCAAUUUUAUUUAUUAGUGACCAAAUUUUUUUAGUUGAUAUUUCAAAGAUUAUGUUAAAGUAGAACUCAAACAGUAGCAUCACUGACAUGUUUAAUGUGUUUUAAUGUAAAAAUAAACCAGGUUUCUGCAGAUUCUUAACAUUUAA